GACGAACGCUGGCGGCGUGCUUAACACAUGCAAGUCGAACGGAAAGGCCCUGCUUGUAGGGUACUCGAGUGGCGAACGGGUGAGUAACACGUGGGUGAUCUGCCCUGCACUUCGGGAUAAGCCUGGGAAACUGGGUCUAAUACCGGAUAGGAGCCAUUUUUAGUGUGAUGGUUGGAAAGUUUUUUCGGUGUAGGAUGAGCUCGCGGCCUAUCAGCUUGUUGGUGGGGUAAUGGCCUACCAAGGCGGCGACGGGUAGCCGGCCUGAGAGGGUGGACGGCCACAUUGGGACUGAGAUACGGCCCAGACUCCUACGGGAGGCAGCAGUGGGGAAUAUUGCACAAUGGGCGCAAGCCUGAUGCAGCGACGCCGCGUGGGGGAUGUCGGCCUUCGGGUUGUAAACUCCUUUCGCUAGGGACGAAGCUUUUUGUGACGGUACCUAGAUAAGAAGCACCGGCUAACUACGUG
rnacentral:rRNA from 1 species